rnacentral:lncRNA from 1 species
UUCCGUACAGUUUCCUUUUUGUGAGGACAAAGAUUGCCUAAGAACAAAAUGGCCCCAAAGGGUUCAACAAAAACCUUAGCUCUCUUCCUUGCACUGAUCAGCAUUGUUCUCCUCGGCCAAACCCAAGCCAAAAACCGUCCCUAUCUCCGCCCACCUCCCCCACGCUUUCCUCCGCCACCAUGUCCAGUAUGUAUUUGUCCAGCACCACCACCUACGGAAGUUUUACCAACGAGUCCACCCACCACACCACCGGAAACACCUCCGACCACACCACCAGAAACACCUCCAAAUACACCACCGGAAACACCCCCAAACACACCACCGGAAAAUCCUCCAACCACACCACCUGAACACCUCCAAACACACCACCAGAUACUCCACCAACACUUCCACACAAACACACCACCGGAGACACCUCCAAACACACC